UGCAUACCGCUCUGUUCUGUUUUCCUCUUCUUCGAUACGAAAUUUUCCCCACCGCCGCCGCCUAGGUCAUAUCCUACCGCCGCCGGCCACCAUGGAGCAUGCCCCAUCCGCUGCUGGACGCCCCAAUCCAGAGCAACAUAGAGGGCUAUCGCGUGUGCGACGAAAGUUUGCUCAGAGCCGGCACAAGCUGUUGGCAUCCCCAUGGGAGCGGAGACGAACCUCUCGUCGCCGCAGCUAGAUCCGACCAAGUCGCGGGAGUCGGUGACCCUACUCAACGACGAUCAGAACUGGAUGUCGGCGUUGCGGGAGUCUGUGUCGUUCGGGCGGUUCCUAUCCGAGCCACUCGAGUGGGAUACCACGGGGCAUGUCUCGCCGGCAACGAUGGCGCACGUCCGAUCACCUCCGACAGCUGAGUUUGAUCUGCCGCUACAUGCCGCGGCGUUCAGACCUCAAUCUGCGUCCUCCAACUGCAGUGCUGCGCACAUUGGAAGUUCUGGACCAGCCCAGAGUUGUAAUCCAUGCUUGCCCGCGGCUCGUUCGUCACUAAGUGCAACACAUAUUGGAAAAGCCGAUCUCUAUAUGGUAAGUUCAUCCUAUAAUCUCAUUAAAUAAUGGAUUUACUUGUGGGUAUCCAUAUAGAAUUGAAACCAAUAUGUCAUCCUAUUAGGACAGUUAAACUAAAUAAAGCAACAAUAAUUGCCUGUAGUAAGGAAGAUGUAACAGUAGGCAGUAGCAGUCGGCAGCUACGUAGAGAGGUGUGGCAGCAACAACUUUAGUGUUCGUCCGGACAUCUUUUUUUGAGAAUAUAAGAUUUCCUUUUCAAUUGUUCUCCACAAUGUAGCCCUUAAUGAUAGGAAAGCUCUGAAUAAGUGUUGAUGUGCAAAAGCAUUAUCACUAUGAAAUAUUUUUGAGAACAUAUAGGCACACAAGAAGGUGCCUCUUUGUUUGGCUAUUUUCCUUUUGUGAGUCGUGGGUUACUUCUAGACAGGGCUAGAGUGUCACAACUCAACUGUUCAAUUGUAUGUCAACAAAUGAACGAAGUGGAAAAAUCAUGCAGAUACAGCUACAUGUACUAUUAGUUCUAGUAUAAAAUUAUGUGUCUCACAUUUCAGUCGCAACAGAUGUUAAAGUUAAUUCGUAGUGGAGAUAUGCAUCAAUAUUUUAAACUUGAAGAUUUAGAAGAAUGAUUACUGCAACAUCUUGAUGUUCUUGUUGAGUCAUUGGUUCUGGCAUCUAAUCCUGGGAUCUAGCAGUGUAUAAUAUUGAUCACCACUUCUUGUCCUAAUAUGUCCAUCUGAAUUGUAUAUAAACGCAAUCUUUCUUAUAAAGUGUCAUAGAAUGUUUCUUACAUACAGUAGUUGAAAACCUCAUGUACAGCCUAGCAUAAGUGAGCAUUUAGAGUAAUUGACUAAAAUUCAUGCCAAAUGAGGCUCAAUAAUGCUCGACUAACAGAAAAUCCCAGUAGAACUCUAGGUCAGGCUGGGACCUCCCAGUAUUGGAAAUCUAUGUACUUGUUCUCACUUUGCAGCAGCUGGAAUUAGGAAAGUUUGAUGGAUCAAAAUUACUUUAUCACAGUGUAAUAGGCUGACUUGCUGGCCAAAUAAACUGGCCUGCUAAUCAAAAUAGUGUCUUCUUUGACUAUCUACAAAUAUUAUGGGUAAAAUAAGAUGUAAGCAUUGUUUAGUUUUCUAACAAGAGAACAAUGACAUGGAGGGCGAGUAACAGACCUUUCGUACUCGGCACACUGAACUCAGUACAUGUGCGAUUGUCGACUGCUACUUUCUUGAUUAACUACAUAGCAAAAGUGGAAAGAAGAAAAAGAGGUCAAGAAACAACAAAAUUGAUCAGGAGAAUUAGAUGGUGCAACAGACAUGCAGGUUAUUUGGCGUCACAGAAGUGUGCAUUUCUGCCCAGCAUAGGAUGGCGUACAAGGAGAAUAUGGAGUCACCAAGUGAUCUGUAGUGAAGCUGUUUGGUUUAAUUAUGUAAAUUAGUGAACUAAGUAAUAUGCUUGUAAAUAUAUGUAUAUUAAGGUCAUGUUAAUUCCUAGACCAAGAUGGCAGCAUAUGAUGCACC